AGUCAUGAAUUGCCAUUGCCAUUUUGAAAACUAAAAUACUUACUUUCUACAGCUACAUGGUUACAGCUUCCAAAGGAGAGGUGCUUUAUGAUGAAUCCAUGUGUCAUUAUUUUCUCUCUCAUUAAUUGAAUGUCCACUGGGGAAAAAGAAGGGAGAAGAUUGAAGAGGUGGAACGGCUGUGCAUUUUAUCAUGAAGAUUUAUCCGGAGGUGACCUCUAAGAUUACUUUAGAAUGAAGACCAUCAUUAU